GAAUCAGUACGCUGGUCGUGCCUUCGGUAUGUACUGGUGUCACUGGUUUCUCCCUUCUGAAGAACCAUCAUGCCAUUCACUUGGUGUGGUGGGAAAUCAGGACUGUUACUUUGAAUAAAUUAGAGUGUUCCAAGCAGGCAAGCUUUGCCUUGAAUACAUUAGCAUGGGAUAAUGGAAUAG
rnacentral:rRNA from 1 species